UACAGAGGGGGCAAGCGUUGUUCGGAAUUACUGGGCGUAAAGGGCGCGUAGGCGGCCUGCUAAGUCGAACGUGAAAUCCCCGGGCUCAACCCGGGAACUGCGUCCGAUACUGGCAGGCUUGAAUCCGGGAGAUGGAUGUGGAAUUCCAGGUGUAGCGGUGAAAUGCGUAGAUAUCUGGAGGAACACCGGUGGCGAAGGCGGCAUCCUGGACCGGUAUUGACGCUGAUGCGCGAAAGCCAGGGGAGCAAACGGG
rnacentral:rRNA from 1 species